CUGAGGAGCCGGCUGCAGGGCGGUGAUUCGCCCCCGGGAUGGUGGCGGCGAUUCCGUGCGCCUUCCUGCAGUUGGACAUCAGUUAUAUUUCAGGCUUUCAAAGUAAACGACGAACUCAGCACUUUGGCAGAGUCCAAAAUCCGCCAGCGAACUUGGGUGCUAGAGUUCGGCGGGAAGAAAAGCGCCCGGGCUGCGCCGACCGCCGGCCCCGAGCCGCCGCGGGCUCCGAGGAGUCGGCCGAGCUGCUCCCGCGCCCUGGCCGGACGUUUGAAACUAUUGCUUUGCUGAAAACAUCUGACUGCCAGGCUAGGAUGUGACACUUAAGGGACUUACCAAUUUGGGAUUCUUCCAGGAGCUGAAAACUGAUUGCAAAUAUGAAACAGAUUUCACUACAGGACUUGAACCCUACAUUAAAAAACAACAAGCUCCCCAAAAUAAUUGAAAAAGAUCUUCACCAAAGAGUAGCUGCAAUGUGAAUGGCAGGAUAUGAAGCAAGUAAGAGAUGGUGAAAAGAUUAUCUUAAGCUUGGAAUUAAGUGAUGAAAGGGACCUUCGAAAUUAUCAACUCUAAAUACUUCUUUACAGGAAAAUUGAAAGCAGUUAAGAACCUGCCCCCUACCGUGGAGUUCUUGGUGCCGUGAGUUGGAGUUCUUGGUGCCUGGGUGCGUCCCCAAGG
ensembl:lncRNA LINC01122 long intergenic non-protein coding RNA 1122